UACAGAGGUCUCAACCGUUGUUCGGAUUCACUGGGCGUAAAGGGUCCGUAGGCGGCCCGGAAAGUCGGAUGUGAAAGCCCACAGCUCAACUGUGGAACUGCAUUCGAAACUUCCAGGCUAGAGUGUGAGAGGGGUGAAGGGAAUUCCCGGUGUAAGGGUGAAAUCUGCAGAGAUCGGGAGGAACACCUGUCGCGAAGGCGCUUCACUGGCUCACUACUGACGCUCAGGGACGAAAGCUAGGGGAGCAAACGGG
rnacentral:rRNA from 1 species